GACGAACGCUGGCGGCGUGCCUAAUACAUGCAAGUCGAGCGAAGUUUUUCUGGUGCUUGCACUAGAAAAACUUAGCGGCGAACGGGUGAGUAACACGUAAAGAACCUGCCUCAUAGACUGGGACAACUAUUGGAAACGAUAGCUAAUACCGGAUAACAGCAUUAACUGCAUGGUUGAUGUUUAAAAGUUGGUUAUGCUAACACUAUGAGAUGGCUUUGCGGUGCAUUAGCUAGUUGGUGGGGUAAAGGCCCACCAAGGCGACGAUGCAUAGCCGACCUGAGAGGGUGAUCGGCCACACUGGGACUGAGACACGGCCCAGACUCCUACGGGAGGCAGCAGUAGGGAAUCUUCCGCAAUGGGCGAAAGCCUGACGGAGCAACGCCGCGUGAGUGAAGAAGGAUUUCGGUUCGUAAAGCUCUGUUGUUAGGGAAGAAUGGAUAUGUAGUAACUAUACAUGUAAGAGACGGUACCUAACCAGAAAGCCACGGCUAACUACGUGCCAGCAGCCGCGGUAAUACGUAGGUGGCAAGCGUUGUCCGGAAUUAUUGGGCGUAAAGCGCGCGCAGGUGGUUUAAUAAGUCUGAUGUGAAAGCCCACGGCUCAACCGUGGAGGGUCAUUGGAAACUGUUAAACUUGAGUGCAGGAGAGAAAAGUGGAAUUUCUAGUGUAGCGGUGAAAUGCGUAGAGAUUAGGAGGAACACCAGUGGCGAAGGCGGCUUUUUGGCCUGUAACUGACACUGAGGCGCGAAAGCGUGGGGAGCAAACAGG
rnacentral:rRNA from 1 species